UUGCGAAAUGAGUAUUUACCUGAGAAAUCAAAACCGAUUGCACGCAUUUCUUCGGCUAUCUUUUGCCAGAUAUUUCCCUUCAAUUUUUCAUCUUUAUAGUCUUUUAAAGACAUGUCGUAAAGAGCAGGAUACGCGCGAAAAGAAUUUAUAAGUGCUUCUUCUAGUGACGCCAUUUUGAAAAUUUUGUCCUAGCGACACAGCGAUUUCAUGUGCUCCAGCGAAUUCGCUGGCUGUGUUGAAACGACACAGCGACACGGCUUUGUAACCGCGCAAUCCCGUCGCUGCGCGGUAACGACAUAGCGACAGCGACAGUGUGUCUCAGCCUUAAAGUUAACAGUUUGUGCGCAUGCAUUGCUAACAACUAUGUUAUACUUGGUUAUACUUCAAACCGUAGACGACUAGCUUCCAUAUUAUUGAUCUUUACGUAUGUGGUAAAUGCGUAUACAGUGUAAUUUUCAAGAAACGUGAAAAUCGUCGUAUUAUUCAACCAAACAAGAUGUGAAUUAUUUUUAUCAAAUUUGAUGAAAACACGAAAAAGAAUUUGAAAGGGGCUAUGAACGCACGUUUCCUACACGACGGUCCGAUUUUGCGUUUUGCCAAAAUCAUAUACUUGAUUUAUGUCGUAUAUUUACCAGAACUAGAGAAGGUUUACUUUGACUGUAUGGUAUAAUCAAGUUUUUGUAUAAAAAGUAUUGAGUACUUAUGAUCUUGUCUGAAGAAACUACCCAAUGGCUAUUCAUAUAUUUGUAUUAUUUAACAAAAUCUUCAUCUUUGAUAAAUAAUGGAUUUACGAAAAUAAAGAUAAGAUUUUUA